UCCAUCGAAUGGUUUCUACUCAGUAUUUGAAUUUUCUUUAUUUAAAAUAUCUUAUAAAGAUCUGUCAAGGGCCUGAUAAUAAUUUUUAUGAUUCAUUGGAGCUUCAUCCCAGACAAUUAAUGUUGCAAAUUUGAUUAAUUCUUCUCGUAUUUCUUUUUUAAUUUCGCUUGUAGAACACUCACCAAUUUGAGUUGAUAUU
rnacentral:lncRNA from 1 species